GGGGGACGGAGAAGGCUAUGUUGGCCGGGCGACGGUUGUCCCGGUUUAAGCGUGUAGGUGUGUGUUCCAGGUAAAUCCGGUUCACUUUAACACUGAGGCGUGAUGACGAGGCACUACGGUGCUGAAGCAACAAAUGCCCUGCUUCCAGGAAAAGCCUCUAAGCAUCAGGUAACAUCAAAUCGUACCCCAAACCGACACAGGUGGUCAGGUAGAGAAUACCAAGGCGCUUGAGAGAACUCGGGUGAAGGAACUAGGCAAAAUGGUGCCGUAACUUCGGGAGAAGGCACGCUGACACGUAGGUGAAGUGAUUUACUCAUGGAGCUGAAGUCAGUCGAAGAUACCAGCUGGCUGCAACUGUUUAUUAAAAACACAGCACUGUGCAAACACGAAAGUGGACGUAUACGGUGUGACGCCUGCCCGGUGCCGGAAGGUUAAUUGAUGGGGUCAGCGCAAGCGAAGCUCCUGAUCGAAGCCCCGGUAAACGGCGGCCGUAACUAUAACGGUCCUAAGGUAGCGAAAUUCCUUGUCGGGUAAGUUCCGACCUGCACGAAUGGCGUAAUGAUGGCCAGGCUGUCUCCACCCGAGACUCAGUGAAAUUGAACUCGCUGUGAAGAUGCAGUGUACCCGCGGCAAGACGGAAAGACCCCGUGAACCUUUACUAUAGCUUGACACUGAACAUUGAGCCUUGAUGUGUAGGAUAGGUGGGAGGCUUUGAAGUGUGGACGCCAGUCUGCAUGGAGCCGACCUUGAAAUACCACCCUUUAAUGUUUGAUGUUCUAACGUGGACCCGUGAUCCGGGUUGCGGACAGUGUCUGGUGGGUAGUUUGACUGGGGCGGUCUCCUCCUAAAGAGUAACGGAGGAGCACGAAGGUUGGCUAAUCCUGGUCGGACAUCAGGAGGUUAGUGCAAUGGCAUAAGCCAGCUUGACUGCGAGCGUGACGGCGCGAGCAGGUGCGAAAGCAGGUCAUAGUGAUCCGGUGGUUCUGAAUGGAAGGGCCAUCGCUCAACGGAUAAAAGGUACUCCGGGGAUAACAGGCUGAUACCGCCCAAGAGUUCAUAUCGACGGCGGUGUUUGGCACCUCGAUGUCGGCUCAUCACAUCCUGGGGCUGAAGUAGGUCCCAAGGGUAUGGCUGUUCGCCAUUUAAAGUGGUACGCGAGCUGGGUUUAGAACGUCGUGAGACAGUUCGGUCCCUAUCUGCCGUGGGCGCUGGAGAACUGAGGGGGGCUGCUCCUAGUACGAGAGGACCGGAGUGGACGCAUCACUGGUGUUCGGGUUGUCAUGCCAAUGGCACUGCCCGGUAGCUAAAUGCGGAAGAGAUAAGUGCUGAAAGCAUCUAAGCACGAAACUUGCCCCGAG
rnacentral:rRNA from 1 species